rnacentral:rRNA from 1 species
AUGAACGCUGGCGGCGUGCCUAAUACAUGCAAGUCGAACGAAACUUCUUUAUCACCGAGUGCUUGCACUCACCGAUAAAGAGUUGAGUGGCGAACGGGUGAGUAACACGUGGGCAACCUGCCCAAAAGAGGGGGAUAACACUUGGAAACAGGUGCUAAUACCGCAUAACCAUAGUUACCGCAUGGUAACUAUGUAAAAGGUGGCUAUACUACCGCUUUUGGAUGGGCCCGCGGCGCAUUAGCUAGUUGGUAGGGUAAAGGCUUACCAAGGCAAUGAUGCGUAGCCGAAUUGAGAGGUUGAUCGGCCACAUUGGGACUGAGACACGGCCCAAACUCCUACGGGAGGCAGCAGUAGGGAAUCUUCCACAAUGGGCGAAAGCCUGAUGGAGCAACGCCGCGUGGGUGAAGAAGGUCUUCGGAUCGUAAAACCCUGUUGUUAGAGAAGAAAGUGCGUGAGAGUAACUGUUCACGUUUCGACGGUAUCUAACCGGAAAGCCACGGCUAACUACGUG